rnacentral:rRNA from 1 species
AUACGGAGGGUGCAAGCGUUAUCCGGAUUUAUUGGGUUUAAAGGGUGCGUAGGCGGUUUGAUAAGUCAGCGGUGAAAUAUUUCAGCUUAACUGGAAGGGUGCCGUUGAUACUGUCGAGCUUGAAUUUAGUUGCUGUGGGUGGAAUGUGUGGUGUAGCGGUGAAAUGCAUAGAUAUCACACAGAAUAUCGAUUGCGAAGGCAGCUCACAAAGCUAAUAUUGACACUGAUGCACGAAAGUGUGGGGAUCAAACAGGAUUAGAUACCCUGGUAGUCCACACUGUAAACGAUGAUAACUCGCUGUCGGCGAUACAUAGUCGGUGGCCAAGCGAAAGCGAUAAGUUAUCCACCUGGGGAGUACGACCGCAAGGUUGAAACUCAAAUGAAUUGGCGGGG